rnacentral:lncRNA from 1 species
AAGAUGAUACAGGGACAACCUAGAAGUGGGUGGGUGAGGACGGGGUGGUGCAACCUCGACUUCUGCAAGGAGUGGGUUGGCAGCCCAGCCCCUGUGGAGUCAGCUUGGGGUCUGCAGGGCCCAGGCCUCCCACCUGCCACCGGCUGGCACACACCACCCUCUCCCUCGACACCUAGGAAGGGAGGCCAGUGAGGGCCCCACAGACCGAGGAGGCCGUCGCCUGGCCCUCAGCCAGGAUGGCUAGCCCUCCUUGGGGCCACCACGCCUGAGGAUGGUGCGGAGGUGGACAGCUAUGACUCGGAUGAUGCCACCGCCCUAGGCACGCUGGAGUUUGACCUUCUCUACGACCGGGCCUCCUGCACUCUGCACUGUAGCAUCCUCAGGGCCAAGGGCCUCAAGCCCAUGGAUUUCAAUGGCCUCGCCGACCCCUACGUCAAGCUGCACUUGCUGCCUGGAGCCUGUAAGGCCAAUAAGCUAAAAACGAAGACUCAGAGGAACACACUGAAUCCCGUGUGGAAUGAGGACCUGACUUACAGCGGGAUCACAGAUGACGACAUCACGC